rnacentral:rRNA from 1 species
UACAGGGGGGGCAAGCGUUGUUCGGAAUCACUGGGCAUAAAGCGCACGUAGGCGGCUUGGUAAGUGCGGUGUGAAAGCCCCCGGCCCAACCGGGGAACUGCAUCGCAGACUGCCAGGCUAGAGAGCGGUAGGGGAGACUGGAACUCCUGGUGGAGCGGUGAAAUGCGUAGAUAUCAGGAGGAACACCGGUGGUGAAAACGAGUCUCUGGUCCGUUUCUGACGCUCAGGUGCGAAAGCUAGGGGAGCAAACGGG